CACACACACACACACACACACACACACACACACACACACACACACACACACACACACACACACACACACACACACACACACACACACACACACCACUGAACAAUCAACACGCAUGCACACGCAUUCUGUAGUUUAUGCUUUAAAACUGAUAAUGUUUCUGUUUCCGAUAAAUUUCCAGUUAGCAAGGAAAGUGAAUAUGUGUAAUAUGUGUUAACGGUAGUAAUUCAUCGAAAUAAGAGAGAAAUAGAUGACCUUCUCAUUGAAAGAAGUCUUACGAGUUACCCAGAUGCUAUAGUUUUUUUUUUUUUUUUUUGGUUAUUAACCGACUAGUGUUUUUUCGCAACUUUUUUUCUGUUGAUAAAAAAUGCAAAUAAUUUGUUGUGUAUUUGUUUACAUGUGUUUAUUUUUUGUGAUUGUAAAGUUAGGAUUUUAUUUAUUAUAUUUUAUUUUUUUAUUUUUUAGUUUCAUUAUUAUUAUUAUUGUCAUUUUUAUUAUUAUUACUAUUACUAUUAUUAUUAUUUCCUGCAGUAUUACAUAUUCUUGGCUGAUUGAGUUAAAUAUCCGAGAUGAUGAGACGAAUCUAUGCAUAUUUGAAAUAAAGAUCAACAUUUAUUCUGUGAAUUUAGUGGCAUUUUCAUAAAUACUGUUCAAUAAGGGACAUUCACAGCAAUAUAGUGUAAUUACUAACCACUUCUUUUGACUACUUUUAUAUUAUGUAUUUAUAAAUAACUCUGAUCAUGUGAAGUAUAUUUUCUAUUUUUUUAUAAACUUUUUUCAUACUUGAUUUUGGGAACUCGUACAAGAAUGAUCAUUAGCAGAUCCAUAUCAAAAAGUAUAUACCAAAAAGUAAGUCAGUAAAUGUUUCUUUAAGAAGCACAAUUAAACAGAUAGAAAAUGAUAAUUCAGCGUAUUUAAUGAUAUGUAUAUAGAUUUCUUGCUUCAAGCCAAAGCACAAUGAAAAGAACAGAAAAUAUAUAGUUAUAUAUAUAUGUAUCCAUUUGAAUUAGUCAAAUGAGAAUCUAUACGUGAUAGACAAAAGAAAUAACAAGCCCGCGAAUACAAAAUACCCCAAUCCCCCAACUUAGAGAAAAAAAACAAAUCAAUUAGAAUUGAAAAAAAUAGCCCCCCCUAAAAAAAACCGUUAAAUUUUCAAAACGAAGAAAACGGAAAUAGUUGCCGGCGCUCACCAGCACAGCAUUCCAAACCCGUGCCCUGUCCGAAGUGUCCUUUUUGUAUUUCAGAAUAUUUUAUGUCUCUCAAGAUCAUUCAUUCAGUCAAAUGGUUGCUAGUUUAACAAUAUUAUAGUAUGUCAUUUGUAAUUAUAUAAUAUUUAUUUGAUAUUUAGUACUUGAGUAAAGUAGUACACACGAACAUUUGAAAUAUCUAUGAUGCGGACCUAUAUUACUAAAUAGAGAAAUGGGUCAUCCGUACUCUAUAGUUUAAAAUAAAAAAACAAAAAAACAAAACAUGUAAUUAACAUAUUAAAAAAAUACUUUAUUUUUGUAUUAUUUAAUGCCAUCAAAUCCUGCAUAAACGGAAAUGAAAAUAAAUAUGGAGAGAAAAAAAAGUAAAAAAAAAAAUAACGGAUUCCAGGAUCUUUUUUAAAAAAUGACUUUGGACACAACAUACAACAGAAUUUUACCCACUUCUAUGAUGGUGCUAAAUCUUCUUGUCUUACCUCAUUUCUGCUCCGUGGCCCAGCAGAGUGGCCGACUCUCGAAAAUUUGCAAAUGAAUAUAUAUUGAAAAAUUAACCGUGUAGCGUAUAAUGUUGACGUGAACAUACAAAGCUUCAUGAUUAUGAAAACUCUUUUUCUCUUAAGUAAUUCCGUUUUUUCAUUGAUAUAUAUAUAUACUCCUCUUUUUUAUUAAAUACGAUUUCGGUAUUCGCCAACUGGUGCACAGUAUAGAUAGCUUGACUAAGUAAUCAAUGUUAUAUGACGACGUCGGGAUAUAGAAUAUAAAUAACAAGAAUUAUUUUUUUUUUUAAUGGCACACUGAACAAACAAAAAAACAAACAAAUUGGUUCAGUCGACAACGGCACAAGAAAAGCAAAUCUCGUUAAUUUUUUAUCUUCGAGAAAAAAUAACAUUGAACAGCUCCGAGUGUAAAACAAAACAAAAUAAGAAAACGAGCCGUGGGAAACAAAUUCACGUAAUUGAUCAAAUACGUGAACUUUUUUUAGUAAAUCGCAUGUCUUUGAAUGACCAUGACGAGGCGAGAGGGAGCGACGGCGUGUGUAAGAAGUCAGUCGAGGUAACUACCGCCUUAAUUAAUAAAAAAAUGGAAAUAAUAGCGGAAAAAAAGGAACAUUGUGAAUUGGAAAACGCACAUGUGAUAAUUCUUUCUCUAUCUAUUUAUUUCAAGUUUUCAAAAUAAGAAUUAAAAAUAAAAAUUCUCGCAAGAGGUGAAAGUCAAAUAUAUCCUGAAAGAAACAAACAAACAAGCAAAAAUAUACAACAAUAACAAGUUUUGUGGUUAUCACGUGACUGUACUGCUGAUUGUGAGGCAAAGCUAAAGAAGGAUGUCUUAAUAUAGCUGGCAAGGACCUGUGAAGUACUUGUAAAUCUUAGGACCCUAAGGGCAGAGUUCCAUCACUUUUACCAACACACCACUUGCCAUUCUGUUCUUGUGGGUGCGUUCGCCAAUGGUGAAUUGUUCAGAUACACGAGACUCCAGUAUUUCAUACAAUGCAUCAAAUUCUUUGGUGAGCAAAAAUAGAUAAAUAAAUAAACAAAUCAUAUAUAUGUACUCAGUAUGCAGUUAUACUUCGUGCAUGAUAUUAUUGCUUCGAUAUCAAAUUUUCUUCAGGACCGAGCGUAGAAGUUGCCGUGCAGUGGCAGCUAUCUGAGCAUUCAUUCAUUGUGAACGCAACCACUAUUUUAGGUUUAACGGUCAUUUGCGCUGUGACGUAAGGUAAUUUCUGUGGGGCUGUGUAAGAAAAUGUCUCUCUGUAAUCCCCCCCUGACAAAAUAAGAUGUUUAUUCAGUUGUAGACUAUGGAACCCCAAAGUCGAUUGUAGACAGCCUUUCUCUUCCACGGUCGCCACAGAUCUAGGUGAUAGGUUCGUAGCAUUUUAUUGAAUGUAAAUGAUUAACCCCAUGUCUUCAGGGGUAGCUUAAGCUUUAAUAAACACCAUAGCAUAUACAAGUUCUAUCCUAUCACUCCUUUAUAGUAUCAAAGUAGGUCAAAAUAGAGCAGUUGUAAUUAGCAGUCACACCUCGACACUUCAAGGAGUUUGGAAUUUUAGAGUAGCAGGUUAUGUAGGAUCAGUUAACUGUAUUUUGUUUUAUAAGAAGAGUAUAUUAUUUUUGCUAUGGAAAUUCGAAACUAUAUUAGUCUGUCCUCUGUUGAAUAUUAGUGUAAUUUAACUGGACCAGUAUUUUCUUUAGAUUCAAAAUAUAGUCUAUAUUCGCUGUUGUUUUAGUGUUAAUGGAUUAGUUACCUAUGUCGAGGUUUCACUGUUGUAGUACCGGAGUCAUACUGUCAGGAUAUGGUAGGAAUCUUCAUAAAUAUUGUAGAUCAGAAUGUAUGUGAAAUCUUCCCAUAACUACGAAAUCACAUUAAAUGUACACAUUUUAAAAACAGUCAGACGAGGCUAAGAUCCACCAAAUAUCAUUAAAUUUUAGAUAUCUAUUAAUAAUAGACUCCCUAUUAGACACCCUAUCACAAUCUGUUAUUGAUAUAAGCGAAUGACAAUUGCUCAAUUCAUAGAUGAGACUUGUACAUGCUACAGUAGACCGAGGUGUGGAGGGGUUGAUAGUGUCCCAUUUUACCCCUUCUGGUGUAGGCGACGCCCCACGCCGGCAGGGUGUAACUCGGAGGCUGGUACACCUCUCUUGCCUUCACUAGGGUGUAGACAGGGCUCUUGUCCUCUGCCCCCGACCUGCACAUGUCUUGAACCUGACUCUUUCGCGAAGAAAAAUUCCAGCUUCUGUGGGGCAAAUAUGUAUUGCUACUGAACACCGCGUUAUGUAUGUUUCCUCAACAGGAAUAUAUAUGUGGCUUAAAUAUGUUGUUUUUAAUUAGUUUUGUUUUUUUGUUGUUUUAUAUUUUGUUUAGGAUGUCAAGCACAUGUAAUAUAUAUUUUUUUCUAAACCCUUCAAAAAAAGAAGAAAAGUUCUUGGCUGUUGUUAUGUGUGUUUUUCAUUUUCUCGGAAGAAGAAAAAAAUAAAUAAAUAAUAAAUUGAUGUCAUGUUAUUUCAUAGGCUAGUGUAAAACUGAAAAAUCAGUGGAUGUGUUUAAAGGUGCCAUUUCCACAGCAGCUGGAACAUCGCUCUUUUCCCACUCUUAAGUGUGUGUACAUAAAGGUUCUUCUACUUUUAUUACCUUUUCUACUAAAGAAAAACAGAAAGGAAUUUAUGUUUGUAUUUAAAAUGAAUUCUAAAAGAAACGUUUAUAAGUAGAUUCUCUUAGGUAACGUUCGCUAGGAGUAAGCAUAUAGAUGUAGUUCUCUGCAUUCUAAGAUAAUGUAUUUCUGUUUUGUUUGCCUAAUUUUAUUGUUAACCUUAUUUGGGAUGCUACAUCGAAAGGAGGAUAUUGUGUCGAAUUCACUUAUUUUUUCAAAUGGGUACAAUGCUUAAAGAUAAUCCCUCAAGAUAAAAAAGAAAAUGAGCAUGUUCUCUUUAUUCAUUUUCAGAUAGCCGCUUGUAAAGGCUUUUCCAUUGGCUACCUUUAUUCCUAAACUGUAAGGCGACAAUUUACAGGUUGUGUUAAUAUCGUUCCCUGGCCUUUUCGCUUGUCCUUAAUGUAUAAAAAAUCUUAAGAAUGUAAGAAUCAACUCAAGAAAAGUUCUUUCACACUCAUAAGCCCUAACAUGACUUAUGGAUGAACUGAUCACAUAGUGUAAACAAACUGUAAACUUAAGAAGUGCUUCCCUUUCGCAUAUCACUCAAUAUUCACUCAUAAGUCAAGUCGCGUGGAAAAAAAAGUUAAAAAAAACUGCUUCAUGUACUACUAACAUGCAUGGUGUUUAUAAUGAUAAGUGCCACUAAACUUGCAUUAUAUGGUAGAACUCAGUGAUUUUUAGUUGUAGACGCAUUACUCAAAUGUUUGACAUCUGAAUCCCAAAAAGCUAGAAAAAAAAUAUCUAGGCCAUCCGAACUCCCAAAAGAUAAGAAGGUUAGGUCAUCUGAUUCCCAAAAGAUAAAGUUAGGUCAUCUGACUUCCGUGAGGUUAGGUCAUCUGACUCCCAAAAGCAUGAGGUUAGGUCAUCUGACUCCCAAAAGCAUGAGGUUAGGUCAUCUGACUCCCAAAAACAUGAGGUUAGGUCAUCUGACUCCCAAAAGCAUGAGGUUAGGUCAUCUGACUCCCAAAAACAUGAGGUUAGGUCAUCUGACUCCCAAAAACAUGAGGUUAGGUCAUUAGACUCCCAAAAGACAAGGUUAGGUCAAAAUCGGUGACUUCGGAAGGGGCCGCAUGGUAACUAACACUCACUGGAGCUUGUCGUCUUACGCAAAAAAAGGUAAUUUAAUCAAAUGCAAAAUGUUGCACGUCACUAGAAGGACGCCGAGAAAUGGAGUUUUGACAGUUCUGUGAUGUUUAGAGAUUGUUAAGAAGAGUGAGGUGAUUAUAUCGCUUAAUACAGUUUAUACAUCAUAAUCUGCAAAAAGAAAUGUAUUGAAGUGACUGAUUAUAUGCUUUAUGAGAAUGUAAUCGCCUUACUCCAUAGAAUCUUUUUUUUUUUGUAGAAAAUGUAGACUUAGACAUGUCAAGGGUCGUAUUUCCGGCCCGGUUUUACCUUAUUGAAAACCACUUUAUGUGUCCUUCUACUGAUGACUUAAUAAGAUAUUCUGCAGGUGCUUCUCUCGCCUGGAUAAUUGAUCCGCAGGAACUUGAAGUGAUUAAUUGGUUAUGAGUUUAAUUUGGCACAUUCAGCGUGUGAGAGAUUUCGAUUCCGCAACAUAAUUUCUAAAAAAAAAAAGCACAUUCAGAUAUUCCAAUUCAUGGACAUUUCUAGAAAGUCAAAAGGCUGAAAAGGGGAUCAUUACGACCAGUAUUAUCGCACUAAUUGCAUUUGAUAAGUGAAUUGCAAAAAAAAAGGUAAAAAAAAAAAGGAAAAAAAAUUCUGCUGUCAAAUUUAUUCUCGACCAACGGAUAAUAAGGUCCAGGUGUAGAUUUUCAGUGUUGAAUCCCAAGGAAUAUAAAAAAAACAACUUUACAAGUCUCCAGUUUGGCAAACACUAGGGACUCUAAGGCUGAUGUUUGCAUGAGUGACAUAUGUGUGUACUGUGAGAAGUAACUCUCGUAUAGGCAGUGUCAUAGUCCAAAGUGACUUAAACCAAGCAUUGUUCCCAAACACUAUUUAAAGCUUAAUUAGAUGUUUGUUACUGAAAUUUUUUGAAAGAAGAUGCGCAAUGUAAAAUGUUUACAACCAAUGAAAAAUGCUGUGGUAAAGUGAUUACAUUGUAAUAAAAAAGCAUUAAAACGA